AUAUUUGCAAUAGACCCCCGCAAUUAUCGAUCCCAUGACGCUGAACUCGGUGACUCCUUUCGCCUGGUGCCGCCUCGCCGUCGUCGCUCCUCCCCUGCUCUCAGCGCCUUCCUCACCAUCGCUGAUCAGCGUCUGCUCCGUCUCCAACGCCCUCAGGCGAAGGCGACCGGUUGGACUUUUCUCUAUAGCACAGGCAAGUUUGCUGAAAUCCAUCAUCGAUCAAACUGGGACUUGGGCCAGCCUCUUGAAGGCCCUUAUGGUCUAGAUCGAUUCCGCGAAAGCCGUCUCGUUUGAAUGGGCUGGUUCGAUUUGGAAGGAUCCAAAUUAGAUGUGCCAACGAACGAGAUGACGGAUCGUCGGGGUGUUGCUAGGAACUCGCAGCACAUCGCCUCCAAGCUGUUCGACUCUAUUCCUCUGAAGGAACAACGCCUUGAUAUUCGCGCUUGCACUAUCCUGCUUCGAUGCCUACGCUCGGGCUGGGAACAUCACAAAGCGGGUUGCACCGUACGGUAAGGCCAGGAAACCCGUGGCCGCUGACUCUUAGUUUGUACUGAUACAACAAUAUGCUCUUCGGAAGACCCUAUGGGCACAUGUAUGUGGAAGGUUGGCCAAUCCAAUAUUCCCCCACUAGUAUAAAGAUGGCAAAAGUGGGGGUAGGGAGGAUAUAUAAAAAGAGCCCAACGAAUGAAGUGCCUUUCCUCUUUUCUUCUCGUGGCCGUCCACAAAUAAUGCGCUUGGUGACUCCACAGGUUCCAAAGGUGAUUGAAUGGGGAAGGAAAGAUGAGAUGGGAAAUGGGUGUUGUAUAUCUAAAGUUAGUUCGUGCAUUAUUUAUAUGUUAUCUGUUUGACCAUCCAAUUCACGAUGCUGCCAAGCCUACUUUUCUCGAGGCCUUCUUCUCACAUGUGAGCAGUUCCGAUCCCUUCUGAAAUUGAUGGGAUUGCUCAGCAGCAGUAGCCAACAAUACUAUUACGGCACGGUUCUACAUGGCCUGUCGACCUCAAGCUAGUCCGGAUGAGCACGGAGGCCGCAUGCAAUGGGUGAUACCACAACCUUUUCGCCUUUGGGCCACAAGACUUUUGUGCACUACGUGGACCUGACUGAUCGCAGCAUCGAGAUUGUUAGUUGUUAACUUCGCAUUUAAUCUGAGGAUUGGAACACCUCGACGUGAACUCUGCUCAUUCAAGAUGAUGCGAUGGAUAAGGUAAAAUUUGAAGCAGAACUCCAUGUUCCAAGUAUUUUACUUGUCAAAUUUCAAGAGUCUUUAAGUUCUAAAUUCCCUGCGCCAUCAGUCAGUUCCAUGGAAUGAUGGCACAGAAUAACAGAAAUAUUAAAGCAGGUUGGAGUUGUUCUCAUCCUCUACUGUGAUGGUGAUGGUGAUGGUGAUGGUGAUGGUUCGGAAAGAACACAUCGACCCUGUAUGCGCUGCAACAACACAACUAUUUGCUCUAUCCAUCUCCAUCGAACAGAAGCUGCCACCGUUCCUUCACUGGGGACCUCCCUAUUCCUUUACAAUGCACCUCCCUUUUGUCCCGCACAUCGUCAGGGAAUUGCUCGGCGAAACAAGUGGGUGCUGCUAUUUCCAAGUUCCACACCAAACAUGAGAACACCAGUGUUGGUCCGCAACCUUGUGGGGCUGAAGUUGACUUUGACCCCUACAUUUUUCUGACUUUGACUUAAGACCUUGGCGUCAAAGUGCUCAACCCCACCCUUCUCGUGCGAUGCCGAGACGAAGCAUCAAGUGUACGUGCAGUUUGGCACGGGUAACUAUGUCACAUUAAAUGGAGACCUCGGCAGCGAUCUAAACAGCGAGGAUUGCGACCGACCUCAGCCUCUUUGUUUUAUCUACCACUGUUGAAUAGAAUUCUAACGACAUACGAAGGGAGACAACAUGGAUUCCAAUAUGGAAAAUUGGCAUUGCAAGAACCAUGCAAUUGUCGAGGAAGAAAAGUAUUAGCUUGGCAUUUGUGAAGGCAGUCCCCGUCAAGGGUGGAAAUUUCUUAUGAUGGCGGCAAAAAUGUGGAAGAUGAAACAUUUGAUAGGAAAAACUGACACUUGACAUCGUUGGAGUUUGAUGUGGGGGGGGAAGGGAUGAGGUAUGAUCGAUCCAGAGAAGACAAAAGAAACGUUGCUGAGGUCGAUCACAGAUUGGUACACACGAGGGUUUUCAAAGAUGCAUGCAUGCCUCGGAAUCAAACCUCAGCAUUAAUGUAUGUGCCAGCGGUCACGACGGUUCACAAUGACAGGCAGCCUUUUCAGCGGGAAAUAUGUAUCUUUACAUAUCGUGCUAUGUCGCUUGGGUGCUCGAGGCCACACCUCCUGAAUGCCUGUCUACGGUUUUGACUCGUAAAUCAUAUGGUCUUACUCGGACGAGGCAA